rnacentral:ncRNA from 1 species
UAUAAUUAAAGGUCUGGUCCCAGCCUUCCUAUUUUCUAUUAGUAGAAUUACACAUGCAAGUAUCAGCUACCCAGUGCGAAUGCCCUCUAACCCUACCAUUAAUAGGUGUAAAGGAGCGGAUAUCAAGUACACACAUAUGUUGCUAAUGACAUCUUGCUUAACCACACCCCCACGGGAAACAGCAGUGAUAAAUAUUGAGCUAUAAACGAAAGUUUGACUAAGCCAUAUUAAUUUAGGGUUGGUAAAUCUCGUGCCAGCCACCGCGGUCAUACGAUUAACCCAUGAGAAUAGGAAAUCGGCGUAAAGAGUGUUUAGGAUAUUAAUGUAAUGAAAUUAAAAAAUGACUUAGCUGUAAAAAGCUCAUUUCAUAAAUAAAAACAUCUACAAAAGUGAUUUCAUAGGAUCUUAUUACACGUGAGCUAAGACCCAAACUAGGAUUAGAUACCCUAUUAUGCUUAGCCCUAAACUUAGACAGUUACUUAACAAAACUGUACGCCAGAGAACUACGAGCUACAGCUUAAAACUCAAAGGACUUGGCGGUGCUUUAUACCCCCUAGAGGAGCCUGUUCUGUAAUCGAUAAACCCCGAUCAACCUCACCAAUCUUUGCUAAUUCAGCCUUUAUACCGCCAUCUUCAGCGAACCCUAAAAAGGAAUAAAAGUAAGCACAAUGAUUCAAACAUAAAUAAGUUAGGUCAAGGUGCAGCCUAUAGAUUGGAAUGAAAUGGGCUACAUUCUUUAUUAAAAAGUAUAACGGAAAUUAUUAUGAAACUAAAAAUUGAAGGAGGAUUUAGCAGUAAAUUAAGAGUAGAGUGCUUAAUUGAAUUUGGCAAUGAAGCAUGCACACACCGCCCGUCACCCUCUUCAAGCAUAUUAAGUCACCAACCUAUAUAAUUAAUGUUAUAAUGAUAAUCACAUGCAAGAAGAGAUAAGUCGUAACAAGGUAAGUAUACUGGAAAGUGUACUUGGAUUAU